rnacentral:rRNA from 1 species
GAUGAACGCUGGCGGCGUGCUUAACACAUGCAAGUCGAGCGGAGAUAUAUUGAGAGCUUGCUUUUGAUAUAUUUUAGCGGCGGACGGGUGAGUAACGUGUGGGCAACCUGCCUCAUACAGAGGGAUAAUCAUGUGAAAACGUGACUAAUACCGCAUGUCAAUUCGUGAGGGCAUCCUCGUGAAAGAAAAGGAGAAAUCCGGUAUGAGAUGGGCCCGCAUCUGAUUAGCUAGUUGGUGAGAUAAUAGCCCACCAAGGCGACGAUCAGUAGCCGACCUGAGAGGGUGAUCGGCCACAUUGGGACUGAGACACGGCCCAAACUCCUACGGGAGGCAGCAGUGGGGAAUAUUGCACAAUGGGGGGAACCCUGAUGCAGCAACGCCGCGUGAAGGAAGACGGUUUUCGGAUUGUAAACUUCUAUCAAUAGGGACGAAAGAAAUGACGGUACCUAAAUAAGAAGCCCCGGCUAACUACGUG